CCUACGGGUGGCAGCAGUGGGGAAUCUUCCACAAUGGGGGAAACCCUGAUGCAGCGACGCCGCGUGAGUGAAGAAGUAUUUCGUUAUGUAAAGCUCUAUCAGCAGGGAAGAAAAUGACGGUACCUGAGUAAGAAGCACCGGCUAACUAAGUGUCAGCAGCCGCGGGAAUACGUACGGGGCAAGAGUUAUCCGGAUGUACUGGGUGUAAAGGGUGCGGAGGUGGGAGUGCAAGUCUUGAGUGAAAGGCGGGGGCUCAAACCCCGGUCUGCACUGGAAACUGUACGGCUGGAGUGCAGGAGAGGUGAGUGGAAUUCCUGGUGUAGCGGUGAAAUGCGUAGAUAUUAGGAGGAACACCAGUGGCGAAGGCGGCUUACUGGACUGUAACUGACGUUGAGGCUCGAAAGCGUGGGGAGCAAACAGGAUUAGAUACCCCUGUAGUC
rnacentral:rRNA from 1 species